GCCGAUAGAGGAGCAAAUGACAAGAGUAGAAUUAAUGAGCUUUGCAAGCGAUGAUUUAAUUCAAAAGGGGAAUUUGCCGAAACAAAAAAGCAGCAAAACUUUUUUGUUGGCAGUAUAAAUAAUAUUUAUGCUGCUGUCAUUGAUAAAAAAGGUCAGUGGAGAGCUAUCUG
rnacentral:ncRNA from 1 species